rnacentral:tRNA from 1 species
AGGGGUGUAGCUCAAUUGGCAGAGUAGCGCUCUCCAAAAGCGUUGGUUGAGGGUUCAAGUCCUUCCACCCCUG